AAUCCAUAGGUUAAUGAGGCGAACCGGGGGAACUGAAACAUCUAAGUACCCCGAGGAAAAGAAAUCAACCGAGAUUCCCCCAGUAGCGGCGAGCGAACGGGGAGGAGCCCAGAGCCUGAAUCAGCAUGUGUGUUAGUGGAAGCGUCUGGAAAGGCGCGCGAUACAGGGUGACAGCCCCGUACACAAAAGCGCAUGUGCUGUGAGCUCGAUGAGUAGGGCGGGACACGUGGUAUCCUGUCUGAAUAUGGGGGGACCAUCCUCCAAGGCUAAAUACUCCUGACUGACCGAUAGUGAACCAGUACCGUGAGGGAAAGGCGAAAAGAACCCCGGCGAGGGGAGUGAAAAAGAACCUGAAACCGUGUACGUACAAGCAGUGGGAGCACAGGUUUACCUGUGUGACUGCGUACCUUUUGUAUAAUGGGUCAGCGACUUAUAUUCUGUAGCAAGGUUAACCGAAUAGGGGAGCCGGAGGGAAACCGAGUCUUAAUUGGGCGUUAAGUUGCAGGGUAUAGACCCGAAACCCGGUGAUCUAGCCAUGGGCAGGUUGAAGGUUGGGUAACACUAACUGGAGGACCGAACCGACUAAUGUUGAAAAAUUAGCGGAUGACCUGUGGCUGGGGGUGAAAGGCCAAUCAAACCGGGAGAUAGCUGGUUCUCCCCGAAAGCUAUUUAGGUAGCGCCUCGUGAAUUCAUCUCCGGGGGUAGAGCACUGUUUCGGCUAGGGGGCCAUCCCGGCUUACCAACCCGAUGCAAACUGCGAAUACCGGAGAAUGUUAUCACGGGAGACACACGGCGGGUGCUAACGUCCGUCGUGAAGAGGGAAACAACCCAGACCGCCAGCUAAGGUCCCAAAGUCAUGGUUAAGUGGGAAACGAUGUGGGAAGGCCCAGACAGCCAGGAUGUUGGCUUAGAAGCAGCCAUCAUUUAAAGAAAGCGUAAUAGCUCACUGGUCGAGUCGGCCUGCGCGGAAGAUGUAACGGGGCUAAACCAUGCACCGAAGCUGCGGCAGCGAACGUAUCACUUAAAGCGAUUCAGCGGGUUACGAUUGACGGAGCGAAGCGACGUCAAAGCGUAUACAAAGUCGAGUCGGUUUAAGGAUACGUUCGUUGGGUAGGGGAGCGUUCUGUAAGCCUG
rnacentral:rRNA from 1 species